CGCCGUCGGAGCAGCAGCCCUGGGUGGGGGAGCUCGGGUCGUGGCAUAGAAGACUGCUGGAUAAUGCUACAUCUGGGACAGGAUAACAGAUGGCUGAUCUAUGCAGUUACAAUGAUUUUGAGACCAUCUUAUUUCCUUGAUGGCUUGAAGAUGCGCCCCAGGGUGGCCAGCUUGCUGUUACGUCGGAUGGGUGGAGUGUGGACCCCGGAUACCAGGCAACCGGUCCUCAGCACCCUCUGCUGGUCCACCAGCUCUACUACAGUGUGACAGAAGAGAAGCCCAGAGGAGAGGUGUUGCAGGAGGAUGAAAUAGGGGGCGAGCCUCGGAAGAUGUCGCUCCAACCUGCUCACCCAACAACAACAACAACAACAACAACCACCAGAAGAAGAAGAAGAAGAAGACCCUGAAUGUGUCCAGGAAGUCUUCCAGGUUUGGGCAACGUUCCCGUCAUAAGAAAUCUCCAUCAAAAAGCUCCGUCCAAUCAGACAGGAGCGUUUACCGGUGAUGGGGCCCGGGACUCCCCUAUGGCCCUCUUCAUCUAUCUCUGACUGAAUCUGGCAGCUUCGUUAGGAGAGAGGAGACACGGCGGCUAUGAACAGAUUGGUCGUGUAAAUCUCGGAUAUCAGAGUUUCACUGAACGCACCGACAAGUAGGCGUUUCUUUCCAGAGCAUUACCUGCUCACAACGAUAACUGAACUUAAUAAAUCCAACCAAAUGUUCCCCGUGAUGGCUGAUCCAUCUCAAGCAAGCACCUUAAAAGUCUCUGCAAGUGGAUUCUCAUAUGUUUAUUGCCCUGAACGGCUGCCUGGAAGAAAGAAAUCAAUCCAAAAAAAUGUAUGAAAUGCAAAAACGAAAAAGGUGAGUAAAUGAGAAAAUAAAUCCCUGAGGGAGAAAAUCAUAUAGGCUAGAUUAAGGUAAAAAAGAGGAAUUCAGUAUAUCACUUUAAGGUCGACAUAGGAUCCGUGGAGAACUGGUGCUCAUGCAGAGGCACACAGCCUCUUUGUUAAUGGCCUCCUGUAGACUAUCCAUCAUCUCACCGUGGCCGGUUAGCAACAGGGACAACUUCUUGGCUUUUUUUCAACUCCUCCUCCUCCUCAUCAUCAUCUCUUUCUCUCCUUACUCCCUCUCCUCCAUCUCCUCUCUGAUUCACUUAUUCAGCCUCAUCUCCUUUUUCUUCUCCUUCCCUCCAAAAAAAAUGUUGCACAGCCUCGAUACCCAGAGGAGUUUCCUCUCUUUGCUCUUUACCCUUCACAGCAAUAGCGGAGCAUGCAACUUCCUGAACUCCAUUUAACCUCAGCCUUUAAAAGGCUAAGUAGCUCCGUUACAUCCUGCCUUUUACGCCGGGGUCUCUGACAGGUGUUUGAGGGGCUGCUCUCUGUUCUCCGAGGUGCUGUCUGCUCAACUGCCUGACUGUCUCGUUUGCAUAUUCCGGCUGUGAUUAUUUUCAUUGCACGAGUCUGCACAGAACCUGCCAGUUCUCCUGCAGAUCAAUGCACACUUGGAUGCACACGCCCCGGAAAAUAAAAAAAUCACGCAGACACGCAGGUGUAUGCACGCAAACAACAGGCGCAGCCACACAUGCCUCAAACCCUGUCAAAUGCCUAAUCUGCUCCCACAGGGAGAACGCAUGAUGCAGGGCUUUUUGUUGUUGUUGUCGUCAUUUUUCGUGCUCCAUUUUCAUGGGCGGCUGAAAGACAGUGAAGGCGUCCACAGAGAGCAGAGCUCAACAAGGCGUCCAGAUGCAGCUUAUCCCCCAUUCACUACUCAGCGGUCGAGGAUGUGACGGUUACAGUUGGUACAACAUGUUACAGACAGAGAGAGAGAAAGGAAGAGUAACACAAAGCAAACACAUUUGCUGGCUCCGGCUUCUCAAAUGUGAGCGUUGUGCUGCUUUUCUGUUUUAUAUCAUUGUAAAUUGAAUAUCCUUGGGUUUUGGGACAGUUGAUUAGACAGAAACAAGACUGUAUGUGAUGAAAUUGUGAUGGCUAUUGUGACUUAGUUAUUUCUCCACGAUUCUCUGACAUUUUACAGACUUAACUAAAAAAUAAUGAAUAGAUGUUAGGCCUCAUCUAAGAGACAAUGAAGAAGAGAUUUGUCAUCCAGUAGAGACAUUGCUAUUCAAUUUCCUACAAAGGUAUUCUGUUAAUAUCUCUGGUGGAAUUAGACCACUGUAGGCAGUGUUGCAGAUCAGCAGCUCUGCUUUAUGGCAAUAUCUAUUUUCUAUCAAUGUGAUGAAGUGAUUGUCAAGUAUUUAAUACUCUUGAUUAGCCAAAACAAAGACCUUCCUUACUUGUUAUUUUAACUGUUCAAAGGAACAGUGUGUAAC